GACGAACGCUGGCGGCGUGCUUAACACAUGCAAGUCGAACGGAAAGGCCCUGCUUUUGUGGGGUGCUCGAGUGGCGAACGGGUGAGUAACACGUGAGUAACCUGCCCUUGACUUUGGGAUAACUUCAGGAAACUGGGGCUAAUACCGGAUAGGAGCUCCUGCUGCAUGGUGGGGGUUGGAAAGUUUCGGCGGUUGGGGAUGGACUCGCGGCUUAUCAGCUUGUUGGUGGGGUAGUGGCUUACCAAGGCCUUGACGGGUAGCCGGCCUGAGAGGGUGACCGGCCACAUUGGGACUGAGAUACGGCCCAGAAUCCUACGGGAGGCAGCAGUGGGGAAUAUUGCACAGUGGGCGGAAGCCUGAUGCAGCAACGCCGCGUGCGGGAUGACGGCCUUCGGGUUGUAAACCGCUUUCGCAUGUGACGAAGCGUGAGUGAGGGUAAUGGGUAAAGAAGCACCGGCUAACUACGUG
rnacentral:rRNA from 1 species